rnacentral:rRNA from 1 species
CAGCCGCCGCGGGAACACGGAGGGAGCUAGCGUUGUUCGGAAUUACUGGGCGUAAAGCGCGCGUAGGCGGUUACUCAAGUCAGAGGUGAAAGCCCGGGGCUCAACCCCGGAACUGCCUUUGAAACUAGGUGACUAGAAUCUUGGAGAGGUCAGUGGAAUUCCGAGUGUAGAGGUGAAAUUCGUAGAUAUUCGGAAGAACACCAGUGGCGAAGGCGACUGACUGGACAAGUAUUGACGCUGAGGUGCGAAAGCGUGGGGAGCAAACAGGAUUAGAUACCCCCGUAGUCCCUGUCUCUUAUAC